GCAAUUCUGAUCUCCGACCAAUGAGAGAGCAGAAUGUAAGCAAGAGGGCGGUGAGGAGACUGACGUGAUGUGUACGCUUACAAUGGCUGGUUGUGUUUACUCUUAAACCCAUGCCGUGACAUCUUCCAGGGGAAUGCUUUCACAGGUUCUAACACCAAUGGUCAGACUUUGAGAAAUUGAGGAAACACCACAGUGACUACAAAUGAAUGCAGGACAACAUGGAAGAUGGAUAUGGUAAUGAAGAAUGAUGAGAAGACCAUUUCAGCAGAACAGAACUCCUGUCACUGAGAAUUCAUACCUGGAGGGCUGCAGCUGCUAGAUCAUCACCAGCCUGGAUCCAAAUGAACACCACUUACAUCUGCAAGAUAAGACCAAUGUUUGACUUGCUGACUUGGAUGUUUUAAUGAGAAUGCCUGCCCAGAAAGUACUUACAGUUUGUACUUUGCAUGUUUGGAAUAUAUUCUGUAACAGUAACAAUUCCACCCUUUUGUGCUAUAUAAUCAUAUUUCCAAGAAACCAUAUUUACUGCUAUGCUUGCAUUGUAAAACCUGUGAAUUCUAAACUAAUAGAGAGUUUGGGAGAGCCUUAAAGAUCCAUUUUAUUAGCCUGACUUUUAAUGAUAUCUAAGUUUAAUUUUAAUUUUAAUCUGGUUUAAAUGUUUUCAGGGUUUUUUAAAUUGUUUUAUUAUGUGGUUUUUGUUUUUUUUAAUGUAAACCCCCCUGUGCCACUUUAGGAAGGGUGGCAGAUAAAUUGAAUCAAUUUUUAAAAAAUGGAGUGCACCAAAGAUAAUCUUAAUUUAAAAAGCCCUUUGAACUUGUUUUUAGACACUCCUUUAUUAGUUAUGCCCCACACCAUAACCUGGUUAGUUCAAAUGUUUGCACUUUGGAAUUUAGUUCCAUCCAAACCAGUGAAAGAAAACUCAACCUAAAACCUUGAUGGUAAUCCAUAUUCCUGAUAAUUCAUCUUUAUGUAAAGAUGGAAAUAUAUAUUAUAGUAAUGUAACAGUACUGAAUGUUUAGGAUUCACUUAUUAUUUAUUUUUAAACUUUCAUGUUCCUUUGGAACCCAGAGUGACGUGCAAGUCAGAGCAUUUAAACACAACAAAAUACCACAAUAACAAUAAAAGCAAAAAAUGCAGUCAGCUGCAUGUUGCAAUUUUAAAAACUUCCAGCCUCCAAUCAAUAAUAAAUAAAACAGGAAGGAGUGGAGCAGUAAUGCAAGGUGAUUACAGCACAAGAUACACCAAAAGCUCCCCUAAAAGCCAUCUUUUUACCAGGCAUUUAAAACCAAUUAGUGGCAGUGCUAGAUGGGCCUAUCUAGGGAGAGCAUUCCACAGAGCUGGCACCAUAAUUAAAAAGGUCCAGCCACCCGCUACAACUCAGCCACUGGAAGGAGUCCAGAGCAGGGUCACCAAUGCUGAGCAAACUAGCCAAGAAGGAACAUACAGAAGAAGGUAGUCCUCAUGAUAUCUAGGUCCAAAGCCAGCAUUUCACAUUGGGACCAAAAUAUCAAACGGUGCUGGCUGACAUACUGUGCAGUGCGGAUACUGAUGCUUCCUAACGUAAACUGUGAUACAGCACAGUUGUAGAGAUGCCAAAAUUGUGCAAGGGGACUUGUGUGAUCACAGGGCCAUUAUUUCUAAAGGCUACAACUUGCUUUAGGAAGAUGCAACAGUGCUUUCAUUGCAUUAAGUGCAAAUGGAGCAUUGUGUGGUAUGUCAGCCAGUGAGCAGAUCCGAUCUGAUCAUUUCAUGACAGCUAACCUGAUGACAGUAUUUUAUACCGGCAGUAGAUUCUGAUCAGUUUUUAAAGGAGAACUCCAUGCAGAUCUAUUCCUAUUGACUGAGUCCAGUAGCCAGUGGCUCCAAAGGACAUACUGUCAUAUAGGUUAAUAUAUAUAUAUUGUAUUGUACUAACAUAGAAAUGAGUAACAAGAACACAGAAGUUUUCAAGGUUCACAGAACUGUUUUGCCUGAUAGAAUUGGAAACUCAGAAGCUUGCUGAUGGCCCAAAAGAGAUCUCUGUUCACAUUUAAGACAUUUGCUUAAGCUGCUUAAUUCAAAAUCUACUUGAUCAAGGUCCUUCUUGCAUUUAAAAGGCAUAAUCAAGACAAAACUAGGGAUCUGUUGAAAUGAAUGGUUUAAACCAGCAAAUACAGUCAGACCAAUACAUCAAGCGUAUUAGAAGUAAAACCAAUUUAGUUCUAUGAUGUCUACUUUUUCAUAGGAAGCAUGCUUAGGACUACAGUAUUGUGUCUGGACACAGGUGGAACCAGCAGAUGCAAGAGUGCAAGUGGCCAGUGGCGGCCCGUGAACGCCCCACUGCGGGGGGGCAGCAGGAGGCACCUUUAAGGGAAUCGCCGCCAUUACUCACCUUGCUGACACAGAGCCGAGCCCCCGCCAGCAGCCAGGUGAGUGGUGGUGGUGAUUCCCUACUGCAGGGGCUGCUGGGCGGCAUGCCACUUCUCUGA